AUUCUACUCCCUCCAUUGCACAAUACAUGCCUUCUAUUUGUCAAAAUAUAUAUGUAUCUAGACAUGUUUUAGUAUAUAGGUACAUCCAUUUUUGGACAAAUGGAAGUCAAGUAUUUUGGAACGGAGGGAGUACAUA
rnacentral:pre_miRNA from 1 species